rnacentral:misc_RNA from 1 species
GAUGAAGAACGCAGCGAAAUGCGAUACUUGGUGUGAAUUGCAGAAUCCCGUGAACCAUCGAGUCUUUGAACGCAAGUUGCGCCUGAAGCCAUUAGGCCGAGGGCACGCCUGCCUGGGCGUCACACGUCGUUGCCCCCCCAUCUACUCCUUCGGGAUUGCGGGGGGCGGAUGAUGGCCUCCCGUGCGCCUCGUCGCGCGGUUGGCAUAAAUGCCAAGUCCUCGGCGACGCACGCCACGACAAUCGGUGGUUGCGAAACCUCGGUUGCCCGUCGUGUGCGGUCGUCGCGCAUCGAGGGCUCGAAAAAAUUGCCGGGCUCCGGCUCGGCUUUCAACGCGACCCCAGGUCAGGCGGGGUUACCCGCUGAAUUUAAGCAUAUCAAUAAGCGGAGGA